UACGUAGGGGGCAAGCGUUGUCCGGAAUCAUUGGGCGUAAAGCGCGUGUAGGCGGCUUGGUAAGUCCGCUCUGAAAGCCCGGGGCUCAACCCCGGGAGGCGGGUGGAUACUGUCAAGCUCGAGUCCGGAAGAGGCGAGUGGAAUUCCUGGUGUAGCGGUGAAAUGCGCAGAUAUCAGGAGGAACACCAGCGGCGAAGGCGGCGCUCUGGCCCGGUACUGACGCUGAGGUGCGAAAGCGUGGGGAGCAAACAGG
rnacentral:rRNA from 1 species